CACACUGGUGGUAGGUGUUCUCUCUCCCUGCACUUUAGCUGAUCUUGGUCAGAAAAUCUAAAUUGAAGUGUGAUCUUAGGUAAAACGCCACUGCGCUGCGCUCCUCCUCUUCCUCGUUCUGCGAGUGUGUGUGUGUGCGAAUUUGUGGAUUGGCAGUUGCUGAGGUCCGGUGUUGGUGUGAUGACGGUGUCUUCCUCUUCUGCGUGCUGUGAUUCUUGAGUUUGGGUUGUCCCACUGCGUCUGGUGUUAAAGGUUUGUUUUGGUUUGCUGUUUGGUGGUCGUCCCUAUAGCGCCCCCUCCGGCCGGUAACUUCAGCUGCUGCACUUUGUUUUCCUUUGUUUUCCAUAAUAAAAAAACUGGUUUUAAAAAGAGUUCAAUAAAUGUUUUUUGUAAACUUUAAACUGUCUCAAUCCUCGCAUAAUCGAACCUGUGUGCCUUAAAUAAAAGGUAAUAUUCUCGGGGUGAAAUUCCCAGGGUGGUGUUGUUGAGCAAUCUAUUAAAACUAAAAUUCCACAAAAUCUGAGUUUCAUCUAGUGUCGCCACAAGUAGAAAAUA